rnacentral:rRNA from 1 species
GAUGAACGCUAGCGGCAGGCCUAAUACAUGCAAGUCGAACGGUGACUUCGGACAUAGUGGCGCACGGGUGCGUAACACGUAUGCAACCUACCUUACAUUGGGGGAUAGCCUUUCGAAGGGGAGAUUAAUACCGCAUAAGACAGUAGCUGGGCAUCCAGCAGCUGUUAAAGAUUUAUCGAUGUAAGCUGGGCAUGCGUCCAAUUAGCUAGUUGGUGAGGUAACGGCUCACCAAGGCAAUGAUUGGUAGGGGAACUGAGAGGUCAAUCCCCCACACUGGCACUGAGAUACGGGCCAGACUCCUACGGGAGGCAGCAGUAGGGAAUAUUGGGCAAUGGACGCAAGUCUGACCCAGCCGUGCCGCGUGCAGGAUGAAGGCGUUAUGCGUUGUAAACUGCUUUUAUACAGGAAGAAACGACUCUUGCGAGAGGCAUUGACGGUACUGUAUGAAUAAGCACCGGCUAACUCCGUGCCAGCCGCCGCGGUAAUAC